rnacentral:rRNA from 1 species
UGGGGAAUUUUGCACAAUGGGGGAAACCCUGAUGCAGCGACGCCGCGUGAUUUAGAAGGCCUUCGGGUUGUAAAAAUCUUUUCUAUGGGAAGAAAAUGACAGUACCAUAGGAAUAAGGACCGGCUAAUUACGUGCCAGCAGCCGCGGUAAUACGUAAGGUCCGAGCGUUGUCCGGAAUCAUUGGGCGUAAAGGGCACGUAGGCGGGUAAGCAAGUUAGAAGUGAAAUCCUAUAGCUCAACUAUAGUAAGCUUUUAAAACUGCUCAUCUUGAGGUAUGGAAGGGAAAGUGGAAUUCCUAGUGUAGCGGUGAAAUGCGCAGAUAUUAGGAGGAAUACCGGUGGCGAAGGCGACUUUCUGGCCAUAACCUGACGCUGAGGUACGAAAGCGUGGGUAGCAAACAGG